GAGAGGUGUUUAGAACACUAAGAACUGCUAAUUCUUAUCCCUGAAGUU
rnacentral:tRNA from 1 species